GAUGCGGAAAAGAGUAUUGACAUUGAUCCACAAGAAGCACAACAAACUCUAAAAAUAGCAGAAGCUAACUUGAAUAAGGCUGAAGGGAAAAGACAAAAAAUUGAGGCAAAUCUAGCUCUCCGACGAGCUAGGACACGAGUAGAGGCUAUCAAUAGGAUCUCGUAACAAGUUGGUUCAGCAAAAUAAUUAAAAAUAGAAAAAGAUAGAAAAUUACAAUAAAAAAAGAUGAGUAGAAAAACUUAUUAGAUACCGGAAUCAAUGGUAUCUAAUACGUUCUAUCUAUACCUUACCUACUAUUGGAUUUGAACCAAUGACUCCUGCCGUAUGAAAGCAAUACUCUAACCACUGAGUUAAGUAGGUCGUUUAUCAUCCUAAAUAAAAAAAGUACCCAUCUAUCAGAUCAAUGGAUUAUAAAUGUUAUAUUACUUAUAAACAAUACCAACGCACUAUCAAUCAAAGAGAUUCGAUCAUGUAAUAUUAAUCUUGACAAGAAUUUAUUUAUCGAAUAAAAUAUGUAUCAAAAGCACAAGGGCUAUAGCUUAGUUGGUAGAGCACCUCGUUUACACACGCGCCAAUGUUUUUUUUUCCACAUGAGUCCAUCAUGUAAUUAAAAGAGUUGAUCUUAUUGAGAAAUCCAUGUCUUACUCCAAGAAUAAAAUAAGAGAACAAUAGCCUGACAAAGGAUUUAGACGUCAAAUAAAAUCCAUAAUGGAUUUGAGAUAUUGAUAAGGUGAAUACUUAAUCUAUUCAAUGCUAGGCAAAUGAGUCUAGGGACCUCAAAAAAAUUCUCUUUUCUUCCUAUCUUAUGAACUUUAAGGUGUAUGAAGUUUCAUUUCCUAUUUGAUAUUUUUAUUUAAGUGGGUUGAUAGAGAGUCCAUUUAACUUUAGUUGAUCCAGGCCAAAAGCAGACCUACGUCAGGAUAACCUUCUUCUUUGAAAAACUUUGGUAGUGCUCUUAGAUUAAAAUCUAAAAAA
rnacentral:lncRNA from 1 species